UUUUAUUGUGGUUUAAUUUUUUUUCCAUAUUUUCAUAAUUUUUUAAUAGGACGAGGUGGUCAAAUUUGGUGUGAAAAACCAAACAACCUAUAAAUUGAGAUUGGGGGAGUAUUUUUAUUAGUUCUAGUAAUUCGAAAAAAUAUUACUAGUAUUUCUUAUGUUUCUGCCUUUCCAUGUUUCUAUACCAUCUUUAUGUAUCCAAUGUGAUUUCUCUCUAUUAUUUUGUAGAGUCUAGUAAAAGCUUGUAAUCCCACGGUAUAUUAAUCGUGGAGCAAAUUAAAGCUGCCUGAGAUGGUACAUGUCUCCUCUAAAAUACGGACCAUAAGAUUGCUCGCCAAUGGUACAUGUCUCCCUCAUCCAUCCCACUCCCACGAUAGGGUGUGCGACCGUGCGAUGCUUCAAGACGCCAUAGUGCCCAGGCCGGCGUGAGGAGCCCCAAACCCAAUCUCCUCCCCCUCCCCGCUGCUCGUCUCCCUCGCUCCUCAUACGUCGUUGUGCUGCUCAGGCCACCGAACCCCAAUCUCCCCCCAACCCGCCGUCAUGCUGAUGGCUCAGAUCCACCACGGCUCCGAGCGGAACUUAAUCCCCCUCCCCCAAGAGACCACCACCUCGGCACGAGCAGUCCGGCAUGGCAGGAGGGCCCAGCGCGCCCGCCUUACAGAGGCGCUGAGGCUGAAGAUGGAUCAGGUGCCAAUUCCGCUCAUCGAGUAUUCCAAGAAUUUGCUACAUUCGAAAUACUCCUCAAGAAGAGAAAUCCAAGGUUCGUGCUUCUCCAAACAACUUAGGGCCUUCGAAAUACUCCUCAAAUUGUUUUAGGUUCUUCCAUACGGUGGCCAUCUCUUGUUGCUUAUGAGCCUUCUAUUUCUGCAGCAAUGCUCUACUCAUGGUAGGAAAGAGGAAUUAAAUAGUCAAACAUCAGUACUGGGUGAUGAUAUUAAUGCACAGCCAGAGAUCUCAAUGGUACUGAUUAUGAUCCUAACAACAUUGAUAUACACAUGAGUUUGAAUUAUGUAGGCAUUUCAUGCGAUUUCUCGUCUGAACGCAACCAUCAACACACGCUGUUGGAAUGGAAUCUAGGUUGAUCGCAUCGGAAGGCUGGGACAAUCCAUAAACAUCACAGCUCUUAUUGUAUGGAAUAAUAGGGUGGUUCAUGCUUUGGAUGAAAUUGAGAUACUGGUGAGAUAUAAACAGAUACCAAUGUCUGAUACUCACGAUCCCCCCUCCUCACGCCAAGCACCAAUAGUUGUUCAUGCUAUAUAUUUUAGUUUGUAGUCCUGCCUGAUCUAUGGCGAUUUCUUUCUGCCAGGCUUUAGAACACAUGUCACUUGCAUAUUCCUUUGGGGUUGGGUGAUCACCGCCUUUGGGGUAUUGUGGUGGCAGAGGCAAGGGAUCGGAGGACCAUUGGUUCUUGUUCUGCCUUAUAGUCAUGUACAUCUUGUGAUUGCAGAGCUUAUCAACAUGAGCGGAGCCAGCCAGACAUAAUUACCAGGAUGAUGGGUUCUUCCACUUCGUUUCAGUUGUCUAGGUCCAAGUAGUUCAUUUCGUGAGUUAUCCAAAGUUGCGCCGCAAAGAUGAGUACUGCUAAUCGCUACCAACACAUCAAGUCAACUAAGCCUGUUGUAGGUCAUAGUAGGUCCUGUAGGUGCUUUUAAACGGGUCUGUCAUUGUUGCUAUUGCCAUUGUUCAGGGGGAGCAAGAUGAUGAUGAUUUCCAGGAUCUGCAUGAAAGCUACAGAAAAGGAGCUACAAAACAAAAUUUGUUAUGUUCAAGUGCAACUUGGUUCAUCCUUGUGGCUACCUCACAAUUCAAUGAUGGUUUACACUUACAUAUUCAUAAAGAGUUGGAGAAAUAAAAACAAGAAUAUUUCUUAGUGAUAUUACUUGGUAUUGACCCAAAUCAGAAAGUUGAGGCCGUGAGUUAGGUAAAGAAUUUUUGAUGCUGGGUGUUGGUCUUGUAUCUGUGCCCAAUGAACUACUGGUAUGGCCAUAUGUCAACUUCAAGGUUAUUGGAGAUGUUGGCGACAAUCUAAUAGUGCAGCAUUCAACUUGUGUUCAAAAGCAGAAAAGAAAUGAUCCCACAAGUUGAAGAACAAUAUGGGGAUUCAUUUUUAGUUUGGAAGGAUGUGAUGGCUUGGAUUGGAAUGACUGCUUUGCUUCUAGUUUUAGUUGGUUCAUCGGCAAUGAGUAUGACUUAGUAGGAGUUCAAUAUGUAUAUGUUUUUUAUAGCAAAAGUGCUUUGAAUGCACAUUAAAUAAUGGAUUAAAAUCUAGAUGGUACUUUGUAAUGAAUAUGCUAUUUCUAAUAUAGUAUUGGGUCGUGCUCAUUUGCAA